GGACUACCCGGGUAUCUAAUCCUGUUCGCUCCCCACGCUUUCGCUCCUCAGCGUCAGUUACUGCCCAGAGACCCGCCUUCGCCACCGGUGUUCCUCCUGAUAUCUGCGCAUUCCACCGCUACACCAGGAAUUCCAGUCUCCCCUGCAGUACUCCAGUCUGCCCGUAUCGCCCGCACGCCCACAAUUGAGUUGUGAGUUUUCACGAACAACGCGACAAACCACCUACGAGCUCUUUACGCCCAGUAAUUCCGGACAACGCUCGCACCCUACGUAUUACCGCGGCUGCUGGCAC
rnacentral:rRNA from 1 species